AAAAGCCCACUGUAGAAAAAUAAUUGUUAAUUUACGUCAGAAGCCAAACAAAUAAUAAUUUUAACAAACUGUUCACGGCACAGCCAAUUAUUAAAUAAUAAGUGACCUGCUCACUGCCCACAAAUGGAGGUAAAAUUUUUUUUAUGGGUUCAAUGUCAACAUGCAGUUUGUUCCCAAAGAAUUGGCCAUAAUAAUACACGAAUUCUGAACGUACGUAUUUACAUUACUUUAAAGUGGAUUCGUUGAGAUCCCUGUCUGAUAAAGACCGACGAACGGCGGUGUGGUUAAGAAAUCACCUGCAUGGAUUAGAUUUCAGAGAUUACAAAGAUGAUUUGGAAUCUAAGGAAAUUUUUCGUAUAUUGGAGUACCUUUGUCGUACCGCCGAGUCUGUGAAUGGGAAAGUAGCUUACAAAGGUGGUGUCCGUGAAAAGACAUAUUUAAAUAAAAUAAAUUAUGGGCAUCUGAGUGUUAACAUUGAAGAAUUUGGAUGUCCAAAAUUAGAUGUACUAAUUAAAACUUAUAAUCACAG